rnacentral:sRNA from 1 species
CGAGCGGGCCUUACAGGCAUCCUCUCCCAAGACUUCCAAGGCCCGGCCGGUUCAUCCGCCCGGGUCUUUUUUUGUCUUUC